rnacentral:rRNA from 1 species
AACGAACGCUGGCGGCAGGCCUAACACAUGCAAGUCGAGCGGACCCUUCGGGGUUAGCGGCGGACGGGUGAGUAACGCGUGGGAAUAUGCCCUUCUCUACGGAAUAGUCCUGGGAAACUGGGGGUAAUACCGUAUACGCCCUUUGGGGGAAAGAUUUAUCGGGGAAGGAUUAGCCCGCGUUGGAUUAGGUAGUUGGUGGGGUAAUGGCCUACCAAGCCGACGAUCCAUAGCUGGGUUGAGAGGAUGAUCAGCCACACUGGGACUGAGACACGGCCCAGACUCCUACGGGAGGCAGGAGUGGGGAAUCUUAGACAAUGGCGGCAACCCUGAUCGAGCCAUGCCGGGUGAGUGAUGAAGGCCUUAGGGUUGUAAAGCUCUUUCAGCUGGGAAGAUAAUGACGGUACCAGCAGAAGAAGCCCCGGCUAACUCCGUG